rnacentral:rRNA from 1 species
GGGGAAUCCAGAGACAGGUGCUGCAUGGCUGCGUCAGCUCGUGCCGUGAGGUGUUGGGUUAAGUCCCGCAACGAGCGCAACCCUCGACCUUAGUUGCCAGCAUUCAGUUGGGCACUCUAAGGUGACUGCCGGCUAAAAGUCGGAGGAAGGUGGGGAUGACGUCAAAUCAUCAUGCCCCUUAUGACCUGGGCUACACACGUGCUACAAUGGGCGGUACAAAGGGUCGCGAACCCGCGAGGGGGAGCCAAUCCCAAAAAGCCGCUCUCAGUUCGGAUUGCAGGCUGCAACUCGCCUGCAUGAAGCCGGAAUCGCUAGUAAUCGCGGAUCAGCAUGCCGCGGUGAAUACGUUCCCGGGCCUU